rnacentral:rRNA from 1 species
GAUGAACGCUGGCGGCGUGCCUAAUACAUGCAAGUCGAGCGAACAGACGAGGAGCUUACUCCUCUGACGUUAGCGGCGGACGGGUGAGUAAAACGUGGAUAACCUACCUAUAAGACUGGGAUAACUUCGGGAAACCGGAGCUAAUACCGGAUAAUAUAUUGAACCGCAUGGUUCAAUAGUGAAAGACGGUUUUGCUGUCACUUAUAGAUGGAUCCGCGCCGCAUUAGCUAGUUGGUAAGGUAACGGCUUACCAAGGCAACGAUGCGUAGCCGACCUGAGAGGGUGAUCGGCCACACUGGAACUGAGACACGGUCCAGACUCCUACGGGAGGCAGCAGUAGGGAAUCUUCCGCAAUGGGCGAAAGCUUGACGGAGCAACGCCGCGUGAGUGAUGAAGGUCUUCGGAUCGUAAAACUCUGUUAUUAGGGAAGAACAAAUGUGUAAGUAACUAUGCACGUCUUGACGGUACCUAAUCAGAAAGCCACGGCUAACUACGUG